GGAAGUAAAAAUCGUAACAAGGUCUCCGUUGGUGAACCAGCGGAGGGAUCAUUACAGGACUCGCAAGACUCCUUCACCCUGUGAACCUCACUACAAGCACGUUGCUUCGGCGGGUGUCCCGGCGGGGGUUUUCCCUCGCCGGGGCGCACAGCCCGCCGGCAGCCUACUAUACUCUGUCUCUUUGCGUUGGCAUCUCGAGAAAAAACAAACAAGUUAAAACUUUCAACAACGGAUCUCUUGGUUCUG
rnacentral:misc_RNA from 1 species